rnacentral:rRNA from 1 species
CUGGCGGCGUGCUUAACACAUGCAAGUCGAACGCGAAAGGGACUUCGGUCCUGAGUAAAGUGGCGCACGGGUGAGUAACGCGUAGAUAACCUGUCUUCAUGUCUGGAAUAAUACGCCGAAAGGGGUACUAAUACCGGAUAUUCUUGCUUUUCAUAAGUUAUGCAAGCAAAGGUGGCCUCUGCAUAUGCUACUGCAUGAAGAGGGGUCUGCGUACCAUUAGCUAGUAGGUGGGGUAAUGGCCUACCUAGGCGACGAUGGUUAGCGGGUCUGAGAGGAUGAUCCGCCACACUGGCACUGGAACACGGGCCAGACUCCUACGGGAGGCAGCAGUGAGGAAUAUUGCGCAAUGGGGGAAACCCUGACGCAGCGACGCCGCGUGAGUGAAGGAAGGCCUUCGGGUCGUAAAGCUCUGUCAAGAGGAAAGAAGUGUACAAUGGCUAAUACCUGUUAUAUUUGACGGUACCUCUAAAGGAAGCACCGGCUAACUCCGUGCCAGCAGCCGC